GGACUGAACCUCUGAACCUAUAGAGGCAUGCCGAAGAGGAUGUGACAGUCACCCACAGAAGUAUAUAGAUCAUGAUUUGGGGUCCACCUGUGAAAGUCGAGUGUUUAAACAUACAGAUCAUGUUUCAUGGAAAGGCAGACCUGCACGGAGCUGGUACCACAUCUCUUCUAGAAGAUGCUUGUCUUCAAUCUGGGUCCCGACAUGCAGAAAGAUGGAGGCAGAGUUAAUUCUGCA
rnacentral:lncRNA from 1 species